rnacentral:tRNA from 1 species
AGCCCGGUCGUCUAGUUGGUCAAGGAUGGAGGCCUUUGGAGCCUUCGACCUAGGUUCGAAUCCUAGCCGGGCUA